AGAUUUUGGUAUCUGGAAUUUGAAGUCACCGAAAUCUUCCUCCUCUUCAGCCUCCAUUCAUGGGAUGAAGUGGUUUUGUUGUGGUUGAACCCACUUUGUAAUUUGGCAACAAAGUUUGCACAAAAUAAAGGACUUGGAUGACUUUGGGAAGAAACUCGAGAUCAGAAAAGGCCAGAAAGUUAAGGAAAGAUAUCUUGGAUGUAAAGAGA